rnacentral:rRNA from 1 species
GAUGAACGCUGGCGGCGUGCCUAAUACAUGCAAGUCGAGCGAAUGGAUUAAGAGCUUGCUCUUAUGAAGUUAGCGGCGGACGGGUGAGUAACACGUGGGUAACCUGCCCAUAAGACUGGGAUAACUCCGGGAAACCGGGGCUAAUACCGGAUAACAUUUUGAACCGAAUGGUUCGAAAUUGAAAGGCGGCUUCGGCUGUCACUUAUGGAUGGACCCGCCUCGGAUUAGCUAGUUGGUGCGGUAACGGCUCACCAAGGCAACGAUGCGUAGCCGACCUGAGAGGGUGAUCGGCCACACUGGGACUGAGACACGGCCCAGACUCCUACGGGAGGCAGCAGUAGGGAAUCUUCCGCAAUGGACGAAAGUCUGACGGAGCAACGCCGCGUGAGUGAUGAAGGCUUUCGGGUCGUAAAACUCUGUUGUUAGGGAAGAACAAGUGCUAGUUGAAUAAGCUGGCACCUUGACGGUACCUAACCAGAAAGCCACGGCUAACUACGUGCCAGCAGCCGCCGUAA